CCAGACUCCUACGGGAGGCAGCAGUGGGGGAUAUUGCACAAUGGGGGAAACCCUGAUGCAGCGACGCCGCGUGAGUGAAGAAGUAUUUCGGUAUGUAAAGCUCUAUCGGCAGGGAAGAAAAAAAUGACAGUACCUGACUAAGAAGCCCCGGCUAACUACGUGCCAGCAGCCGCGGGAAUACGUAGGGGGCAAGCGUUAUCCGGAUUUACUGGGUGUAAAGGGCGUGUAGGCGGGGACGCAAGUCAGAUGUGAAAACCACGGGCUCAACCUGUGGCCUGCAUUUGAAACUGUGUUUCUUGAGUACUGGAGAGGCAGACGGAAUUCCUAGUGUAGCGGUGAAAUGCGUAGAUAUUAGGAGGAACACCAGUGGCGAAGGCGACUUUCUGGACUGUACCUGACGCUGAGGCGCGAAAGCGUGGGUAGCGAACGGGAUUAGAUACCCUGGUAC
rnacentral:rRNA from 1 species